UGCUGAUGAAAUGAGAGGAGAGCAAAUAAGAAACGUCGUUGCCUACAUUUCUUGAAUCUGCCGAAGUCGCUCUGGCAAGUAAGGCCGUGGGAUCUGGAUCUGAGUGUCUGAGAUCUGAGACACUCAGCAAAGGAAGUCUCCACAGGCGGUGGCAGCUCUGGAAUUUCCCACAGCCACUCCUCCAACAAGCUUUGUUGAUGGUGUUGCCUCUGUUCGCCUGCCUAGGAUUUAAGGCAAAAGAAGCCCACAGAUCAGAGCAGAUACAGCUAAAUUAAACUUCUGUAUGGCCAAAUAGCCCAGUGAAAACAAAAUCAGAGAAAACUGAGCUCCAGGUCUAAAUUAAAACAAAUGAAGAUUGAUGGUGAAUGCAGCAAAAAUGGGUAAAUCAUUUAUCUAUCUAUCGCCUAUCUAUUUUUAAUUCCAGCAUAAUUAACAUAUAGUGUUACAUUAGUUUCAGGUGUACAAUAUAGUGAUUCAGCAAUUCUGUACAUUACUCAGUGUUCAUCAUGGCAAGUGUACUCUUAAUCCUCUUCACCUAUUUCACUCAUCCCCCCACCCAUGUCCCCUCUGUUACCAUCAGUUUGUUCUCUGUAGUUAAGAGUUUGUUUUUAAGUUUGUCUUUUUUUCUUCGCUUGCUUGUUUUGUUUCUUAAAUUCCAGGUAUGAAUGAAAUCAUAUGGUAUUUGUUUUCUUUGCCUUCUUUCACUUAGCAUUAUACCCUUUAGAUCCAUCCGUGUUGUUGCAAAUGGCAAGAUUUCAUUCUUUUUUAUGGCUCAGUAACAUUCUCAAAAUGGAUAAAUCUUAAAAAUACAAUGUUAAGUAAAAAAAGCAAAUUGCAGAAGGCGAUAUGCAAUAUGGUGCUACUUUUUAUAAAAGGUUAAAAUGUUUGUUUAUGUAUAUUUUGUUUAGAAAUGCAUACAUAUAUUCUCAAGCUAUAAAAACACGCAUGGGAUGAUAAACACCAAAUUCAUGGUAGUGGUUACUUGAAGGGAAGGAUGAUGGACAGUGGGAUUGGGGGAGGUGGUGCCAGGGAUUUCAUCUGCAUCUGAAAUAUUUUAAUUGUGUAAAAAAAUUCUAAGGAAAGUGCUCAGGCAAAUAAGGAAAAUGUUAAAAUUUGACUUGGCUGUAUAAUGGGCACCUGGAAGUUCAUUCUAUGAUUCCUCAUAAUAGUUUUAUAUUCUGGACGUACCUCACUAUUCACAUAAAAGGAAAGAAAGAAUAAUUCAAGUUUAAGCAAAAGGAAAUUGAGUAUUUGCACAAACACAUUAGACAUUUAGGAACAUUUAAAUACAUUUUUGAUCUCAAACUUUGUUAACACAAGUCUAUUUAUGGAUGAAGAGCAUUAUAGAUUUAGCCCCAUUCAAGAGUUGUAAUUUAUAUGUAAACUGGUGUGCUAUGAGAUCCAGCCACUGCAGAGUUGCAUUCAAAAAAAACAUAAGUCUAAUCUCAGAAGACGGGAAAUAAUGAAGGCUCUGGCGUGGGUGUGGUUGCUGCCAUUUGGCUCCCACGCUAUAGAAAUAUGCUUGCUUGUGACUGGGGAGAUAGUACUAUUGACAUAUGUGACAGCCAGCAUAGGGAUUUGACCCACCCUUAAGAUAGAUAUAUGGUAUGACUGGGCUUCCAGAGUUUCGUGUAGAUUUACCUUCUCUGGGUAGGAUGGUAACUGAUUCACUCUCUCUCCCUGAUCAACAAUCAGGUUCCUUGCUCCUUUCCCUUUCUGCAGAGAACUCUGUGAAUUACACGAUAUUAAAUCAUUCCCAAACAUAGGAUCCAAGAUCCUACAUUACUUCUUCCUUGUCUAUUUGAAUAUGCUUAAAAUGAUGUAUUCUCUAAGUUAUGGCUGUAUUUUUUUCUCCUGAUAAGGUGACCUUGUUAUUUAAUUUCUACUUUCUCCCUUGGAGUCCUGUCAUCUACACCAAAUUAUGUUUUUAGAAACUCUAUUUAUAGUGUGUAGAAUCAAAAAUAUGUUCUCUUUUGGGGCACCUGGGUGGCUCAGUCGGUUAAGUAUCCGACUUUGGCUCAGGUCAUGAUCUCAGUGUUUGUGGGUUCGAGCCCCACUCAGGCUCUGUGCUGACAGCUCAGAGCCUGGAGCCUGCUUCGGACUCUGUGUCUCCCUCUGU